UACAGAGGGGGCAAGCGUUGUUCGGAAUUACUGGGCGUAAAGGGCGCGUAGGCGGUCAGCACAAGUCAGUUGUGAAAUCUCCGGGCUUAACUCGGAAAGGUCAACUGAUACUGUGCGACUAGAGUGCAGAAGGGGCAACUGGAAUUCUCGGUGUAGCGGUGAAAUGCGUAGAUAUCGAGAGGAACACCUGCGGCGAAGGCGGGUUGCUGGGCUGACACUGACGCUGAUGCGCGAAAGCCAGGGGAGCGAACGGG
rnacentral:rRNA from 1 species